UGAGUCGGUUGGGCAGUCGCGCAGCUUAGCUGUGAGGAAAGUCCGAGCUCCGCAGGGCAGGCGGGCGGCUAACAGCCGCCGAGGGCGACCUUAGGGAAAGUACACAGAAAUAUACCGCUGCCGGUCGGCAGUAAGGGUGAAAUGGUGCGGUAAGAGCGCACCGGGGAACAUGGAAGUGUUCCGCCAGGCAAACCCCCGCCGGAGCAACGCCGACGGCUCAACGCGCCCAGCGGCGCACCCCUCGCCCGGGGGACUGAGAGCGAAAGGCGGCACCGAGCCAUGCGGCAACGCACGGCCCAGAUAGAUGAUUGCCUUCAAAGACAGAACUCGGCUUACAGACCGACUCACAUU
rnacentral:RNase_P_RNA from 1 species